GUCCCUAUCGUCUAGCGGCCUAGGACGUCGGCCCUUCAAGCCGAGAACAGGGGUUCAAAUCCCCUUAGGGACG
rnacentral:tRNA from 1 species